UCGGUGUGUUUGUGAAUGAAUGCCUAUGAAUGAAGAUUGUGAGGAGGAUUAUCUGCAGGUCAAAAGCAGGCAGGACCAAAACACAACUUGUGUGUGUGGGUGUGUUUGUCUGACAUGCGGCAGUCAGAGCAGAACGGACAUGGGGAUUAAAGACAGGAAACAGACUGCUGUUGAAACCCUUUCCACAUCUGUACACAAACAACAACGCUCUUAUGUGCCUUUCCCCUCCAGUACAUUUCAUUUGUGAAUCUGGAUGCAAAAACUGUGAGUUUUGUUGUCACUAACAUGCACACACACACACACACACACACAAAGAACCGGCACUGCACUCCCUCUGCCAUCUUAAGUGACAGAGGUGCGACUUGACACACAUGUUGACGUCAUCAAUCUGUCAUGUUUUUGUUUGAGAAAGUGUGACAGAGCCAGAAACUGUGGUUACUAAGGCAACGAGCGGGGCAAAUAAAACAACAUGAAGGGCAGCUGACCAGUGAUGGAGGGUACAAGGGGAGGAGGGGGGAGGAAAGGAAGACAGGAGAUGAAUGGGGGAGGAACGAGAGGAAGCGGAGUGUCCUUGUUAAUGUGACACAGUCACAUUUAAGUGAUUGAAUUUCCUCUGUGUGAGUGUGUGUUUGUGUAUUAGUGUAUAGCCAUGAGUCAACUGCCCAGUUGCUUGUCAGCCAACAUGACUGGAGUUACACAACUGAAACGUUUCCCUUCUCGCCCCCCCUUGUGCCUGCUGGAGGCUCAAAAUGAAACUCAGGGCUCAGGGUGUUCUCACAAUCUGCUACAGUACACUGCGACGGAAUCACAUUAUGUACUGUGUGUUGUAACAUUUGACAAGCUCUCUCUUCCUGCUUGCUUCCUGCUCUCACGCUGUACUCUGCUGUACACUGCAGCAGAAAAGUCAAGGUGAAAUGUAAGAUGUAGAUUGUUACCAUGCUUUCACAUGUGGAGCCUGAACCAAACAACCAUUUACAUGUUUAAUAUACCUGAAUUUGCUCAGUGGGUUGAAUGGCUUAUCUCAUUAAAAUUAUUUGUAAUUUA